GUCUACAGCCAUGCCACCCUGGACGUGCCCAAUCUCGUCUGGUCUCGGAAGCUAAGCAGGAUCGGGCCUGGUUAGUACUUGGAUGGGAGACCACAUAGGAAGACCGGAUGCUGUAGGCG
rnacentral:rRNA from 1 species